rnacentral:misc_RNA from 1 species
GUUCAACUCGUGCGGCACGCAACAAUGACAGACCGUCUUUGCUUUCAGAACCUUCCUUCUCCUGCGUUAAUUUUUGUUUUUGUUUUCUCCUUAAAAAUAAAACAAAGUAAAUUAAAUAAAGGAAAAGAAAAAAAGAUAUUCUCUGCUGUGUUGAGGAAUAAAAGUGCAGUCGGGUGUUUUCUCUUCUAUCUCUCUCUUUGAGCCAGAACAGAGCUAGAAAUUCGAAAACAUAGCAGCAGGGGUUGUUAAAGGGGACUAAGAGAGAGAGAGAAGAGAUAAGGAAGCAACCGUGCGCGCGCUUGGGGUCAAAAGCAGAGUGAAAGCAGAACAGGGGGUGAUAGACCGUGGAAUCUAAAGGAAUCACACACAAAGUUUUGGGUUUUGGUUGUUUUUG